rnacentral:ncRNA from 2 species
AUUGUUCACUAGGGGUACCGCAAGGUUGAGAUAGUCCCUUUGAACCUGAACAGGUUAAUGCCUGCGUAGGGAAUGUGAAAUUAUUCUAUU